rnacentral:rRNA from 1 species
GACGAACGCUGGCGGCGUGCUUAACACAUGCAAGUCGAACGGAAAGGCCCUGCUUUUGUGGGGUGCUCGAGUGGCGAACGGGUGAGUAACACGUGAGUAACCUGCCCCUGACUUUGGGAUAACUUCAGGAAACUGGGGCUAAUACCGGAUAGGAGCUCCUGCUGCAUGGUGGGGGUUGGAAAGUUUCGGCGGUUGGGGAUGGACUCGCGGCUUAUCAGCUUGUUGGUGGGGUAGUGGCUUACCAAGGCUUUGACGGGUAGCCGGCCUGAGAGGGUGACCGGCCACAUUGGGACUGAGAUACGGCCCAGACUCCUACGGGAGGCAGCAGUGGGGAAUAUUGCACAAUGGGCGGAAGCCUGAUGCAGCAACGCCGCGUGCGGGAUGACGGCCUUCGGGUUGUAAACCGCUUUCGCCUGUGACGAAGCGUGAGUGACGGUAGUGGGUAAAGAAGCACCGGCUAACUACGUG